GUAAUCUGCUCAUGAACAAAUAAAUAGCCGCAGAAUUUUUACUGUGCUAAGGUAGCAUAAUCAUUUACCUUUUAAUUAAAGGUCUGUAUGAAGGAUUCAACAUUUAAAUUACUUUUUUAUUUAAAUAUUUUAAAUUUUAAUUAAAUAUCAAAAUGUAUUUAUUUUUAAAAAAGACGAUAAGACCCUAUUGAACUUUACUAUAGUUAAGCUGGGGUAGCUAAUUAAAUAUAAUUUUAAUUUUUGUAAUAAUAAUAAAUUUUCUAAUAAAAUUAAGUAUAAAAGUUACCAUAGGGAUAACAGCGUUAUAUUAUUUUAAAGAUCAUAUUCAAAAUAUUGUUUACGACCUCGAUGUUGAAUUAAAAUUCCUUAAAAUGCAACAGUAGAAAAGGAGGUCUGU
rnacentral:rRNA from 1 species